UUCAUCUCCUUAAUUCUCUCUCAUUUCGUUCUUAAUAAGAUUAUUAAUUAUAUGGCCACCACUUUACAGAAGAGGGGACUCUUGAUGGCAGCCAAUGCUAGUGUAGAUUCUGUAUUGGAACACAAGGCUUUCUUCCCCCUCUUGAGGAUCUUGACAAGCCACCCUGCGUUUAACUUUCAUAAUGGUUUCAACUCUGUUAAUUUGCAGACAACAUAUAUGUUUGUUUCCUAAUUUAUAUUCUUUGAAUCUGUAACAAACGUAAGUGUAGUCUUAUCUUAGACUACACACCACUGCACUGCUUUCAAAUGUUUAUGAGCUCUUGUUAUAUGACUUUCUUUUUUUACUUUCUAUCAACUCCUGUCCCUUUGUGUACUCGUGCUAUAACACUGUAAUAUCCUAUAUUUAAUAAGGG
rnacentral:lncRNA from 1 species